CUGCUGCCCAUGUACAGCUACGACCCGGCGGAGGAGCCGCCCGAGUCGGAGCAGGAGCUGCUGGUGGAGGCUGAGGAGGCUCAGGUGGUGCCCGGCUGGGGGGGACCCUCUCCCCCCUGGCCCCCACGCAGGGACUGGAGGGCCUGACCCUGCCUGGAGCACCGGGAGCGGAUCCUGCCCGCGGGAGGGAAGGGAGGACGGUGUCAGCACUGGUACCACCAGCCAAAACUGCAGGAUGUGCCACGGUGGUGCCACAGCCACUGCCCCCACCUCUGAGCACUGACCAGGACAUCUCCAACCUCAGUGCCUGAUUUUGCCUUUUUUUCUUGAACUGCUCCAGCAGCCCCUUGGAAAGCGCCGGGAGGGCCCACAGGGGCUGGGGCAGUGGCAGGGAGCAGCAGGCUCUGCUGGCACGGGAUGCCUGGGGGAAGUGGGGUAAAUAAACGUGUCUCUGCCUUGGCCCCGAGGCUCGGCGUGGGGCUGGGGUUCCCGGCCUUGGGCGGGAUUUUGGGGGGCAGAAAGGCUUUGCCUGUUUCUGUUUCUAUCGGCAGCUCAUCCCCGUGGGUGGCUGGUGGCUGCCACCAGCGCGGAUAUCCCUGUGGAGAUGCCCUGGGAAGAGCCCACCCAGCCGGGGCGGGGACAGAGGCGACACAAACAUCCAUAAAAUGUUUUAUUCAAGUAACUGCAAAUAGGAACCCAAAAGGUCGUUAACAGUGAACCAAAAAAGAAACCCAAACCAAACCCCGAUUCUCUCCCGCCGGGGCCGCCCGGCACCGACCUCCGGUCCCGCUGCAGCCGUCGUGCCGGGGCAGAGGGGCAAGGGGAGCAUCCCAUGGUCCCCCCGCACCUCUGCCCUGCCAGCCUCGAUCCCUUGAAGCAGCAGAGCGAACUAGACCUCAAAAUAACGAUUAAAAAAAAAAAAAA